CCCACGAGCAUCUCACAUGGGCCUUGGGAGGACAGGCUCGGAAGCGGCGGGGACUCCAGGGUCCUAGUUUAAGGGCCUCAGGGUUGCAGGUGCUGCGUGAUCCCAUGGGAUUCGCAUGGUGGCCCCUCCUGCCGAGUCCUUGGGGUGACCCACGCUGGACAUAGGGGCCUCCUUCCUUCCUGGUCGUGUUCCUGACCCUCAACCAGCCUCAGAGACCACCCUGGCCGGAUCCCAAGAGCCCUCCCCCUCCCUCCUGCCCCCAGCCCAGGUGGGCCGGGCUCUCUCCCCACGCUCCCUGCUGCCCCGCCUGCUCCUCUCCCUCCCCUCCCCGGGGUCCCAGCCCCAUUCCCUAGCCACUCCGGUACCCAGCCUGCCCCUACGUCAGCCAGAUAGACCUUUCCAGAACACGGCCGACCACUUCCUCCCCUCCCCGCCAGGCCUGGCUCCAGGCCCCUGGGGCGUGCGUCAUCCCAGCCCUGAUGGCUGGCUCUCCGCAGCGGAGCUUAGCUGUGUGGACCUCGUCUCCAGCCCGGACAGCCCUGUCCUUCCUGUCUGCUACUCCCGCUGCCUGGAACCCGGGGCAUCUUCUUCACCUUGCCUACCUCGGCUCUCGGUCGCCUCCGGGGAGCCUUCCUGACCCCCAGUCUGGCAGAAACCACGUGUGCUCCCUGCUGAAGGAGUCACGGCCCACAGCCCAGAGAGGCCGAGCUGCUUGGCCAGGGUUGACCAGCACUGAGUGGAAGGCUGCUCCUGGCCCUGAGCCCACCUCCCUCCUCACAGUGACCCCACUCCCAGGGCCACAGCUGCAGGACGUCACCCCGACCGCCCGCCUGAUAGGCUCCGAGUGCUCUGCGGUCUCGUGGAACAUCUGGGCCCCCCAGUCCUGGCCCGCAGAGCCUGCCCAGCUGCGCCUCUGAGCCACACCCAGAGGCCUCCCGGCUCUGCCAGGGAGACUGGAAAUUUCUGCUCAGCAGCCCGGUUGGGGUGGAUUUCGACACCACUCAGCGGGGGAUGGGGGAGCGGGUGGGCCGCCAGACAGGCUCUGCAUUCCUGAGGCUCCGAUUCCGGGCACUGGGAGGGGUCUUCACUAGGCCUAUGUGAGUCCCUCAGAAAUAACAGUAACAAAGCCCCCACAGUGGUCCCCCAGGCACCCUGGGAGGCUGAGGCAGGAGGGUUGCAAGUUCUGCCCCAGCACAGUCAAUUCAGCCACUUAGCAAGACCCUGUCUCAAAAUAAAAACUAAUAAUUUUUAAAGAGGCUCUGGGUUCAGUCUUCAGUAUGGCAAAACCAAACAUGGUAACAAAACAGCCUGAAGAACCUUCCAGUGUCCAGGGAACUCAGCCCUAUCACCAGGCCACAGUGUGCAUGACACCCACAGAUCCAGCUAUGUGUUGGGGAGCAGGCUGGGCUGGAAGGGAGGCAGCGCUGGGGUGGGGGCCCAAAGAAAACAGAGGUUCAGCCCUGGGCGGCUUGGCCAGCACUUUGGGCAGCAGAGGGGGAGGCGGCCCUCCCGGGAUACCGGGGACCCCAAGGACUGGGGUAGGACCCUCUCCCCGACCUCUCCCUGACCCCGGGGCUGGGGGCGCCCGGCCAGAUUCAGCCAGGACUAAGCGCCCCAUUAUGCACCCAGGGCCAAACGCAAAGAGGAGCGACGGGACCCCAGGCCCGGGCGGGCGAGGCCCUCCCUGGAAAUGGAUCUAGCGAUCCCUUCCCGGCUGGGGCGUGGGAGCUCGGGGAGCACCCGGUUAAGAAGCCUGGGGGCCGAGGGGACCAAGCCAGUCCCCCUCCGCAGGGCAGGGCGCGGCGCCCGGUUCAGCGGAAAGGAAUGCGGCGCUCGGGGGGAGGCCGAGGCAGCGCACACCCUCCGCCCCCGCGAGUCCGGAGCUGCGGUCUUGCAGGCGAUCGAGCCCGGGAUCAGAGCCUCUCCCGGCCCGAAGUGGGGG
ensembl:lncRNA